rnacentral:rRNA from 1 species
AUUGAACGCUGGCGGCAUGCCUUACACAUGCAAGUCGAACGGCAGCGCGGGGGCAACCCUGGCGGCGAGUGGCGAACGGGUGAGUAAUAUAUCGGAACGUACCCAAGAGUGGGGGAUAACGUAGCGAAAGUUACGCUAAUACCGCAUACGAUCUAAGGAUGAAAGCAGGGGACCGCAAGGCCUUGUGCUCCUGGAGCGGCCGAUAUCUGAUUAGCUAGUUGGUGGGGGUAAAGCCUACCAAGGCAUCGAUCAGUAGCUGGUCUGAGAGGACGACCAGCCACACUGGGACUGAGACACGGCCCAGACUCCUACGGGAGGCAGCAGUGGGGAAUUUUGGACAAUGGGGGCAACCCUGAUCCAGCAAUGCCGCGUGAAUGAUGAAGGCCUUAGGGGUUGUAAAGUUCUUUUUGCCAGGGAAGAUAUUGACGGUACCUGGAGAAUAAGCACCGGCUAACUUCGUGCCAGCAGCCGCGGUAAU